rnacentral:rRNA from 1 species
GACGAACGCUGGCGGCGUGCUUAACACAUGCAAGUCGAACGGAAAGGCCCUGCUUUUGUGGGGUGCUCGAGUGGCGAACGGGUGAGUAACACGUGAGUAACCUGCCCUUGACUUUGGGAUAACUUCAGGAAACUGGGGCUAAUACCGGAUAGGAGCUCCUGCGGCAUGGUGGGGGUUGGAAAGUUUCGGCGGUUGGGGAUGGACUCGCGGCUUAUCAGCUUGUUGGUGGGGUAGUGGCUUACCAAGGCUUUGACGGGUAGCCGGCCUGAGAGGGUGACCGGCCACAUUGGGACUGAGAUGCGGCCCAGACUCCUACGGGAGGCAGCAGUGGGGAAUAUUGCACAAUGGGCGGAAGCCUGAUGCAGCAACGCCGCGUGCGGGAUGACGGCCUUCGGGUUGUAAACCGCUUUCGCCUGUGACGAAGCGUGAGUGACGGUAAUGGGUAAAGAAGCACCGGCUAACUACGUG